AUUUCAUUUGAAAUCCAGAUAUUCAAAUUUUAGUAUAAAUCUGAGAAUUUGAAAUGACAACUCAAAUUCUGUCAUUUGAAAUCCAUUAUUUGAAAUGAAAUGCAUGUUUCCAAACGGCCUCUAAUGAGAUUUGAGAAGAAAUUGGGGGUAGGAGAGAAUGAAGCAUUCCAUCUGAAAUUGAAGGUAUGAUCUUCAGCACAUAAUGUAAGGAAUGGAAUGGAUGAAGGAAUGAAAUUUGUUAACAAUUGCUCAUAAUAUAGUUCAUUUUUCAUUCCAUUCCUUCCGGAAUUAUUCACCCCAACCAAACACAACAUAAGUUUGCAAUUGAAAACUCUACAAAGACCCGUAUUGUGAUUGCUGACACAAAAAUUCACAUUUUAGGAUCUUUUGCUAACAUCAAAAUUGCAAGAGUCUCCUUCUGCAGUCUUAUCUUGGGCUCCCCGCUGGGAAGGUUUAUUCAAAACUACGAGCUGUUACCUCCAGAUUGGAGGAAAGCUUCUAAUUUCUUCAGGAACGUCAUCUAAUACAGGAGCGGUGGUGAAUGGACUAACUGCAGAAGAGAUGGCUGUGGAGUUGUAUAAUCUUCAACUGCAGGGUAUUGCAGAGACGUACAGUUGAUCAAGAUGAUGAAGAAACACAAGACUUUUCUCGGUGGACUCAAGCCUUCUUCUCAGAACAGUGCUGAGAUCGAUAGCAUUGUGCGAUUUGCCGUUCUUGAACACAACAAGAAACAGGUACUAAUUAUCACUCUUAUUAUCUUCAUUGAUGUUAUUUGUGAACAAUUAGUGUUAUUCAUGUGUGGUGAGGGUUUUAGGCCUUUUUUUGUAUUACAGUAGGACUAUAUAUUCUUGUCUUUGGUCUUUGUGUGGACACAUCUACUUAAAAAUGUGUCCUUCCCUUCAUUUUUACAUACUCCCUCCGUCCCUCCUCAGUAGUUUACGUACACUGUUUGCACACGUACACUGUUUGCACGCAUUUUCUUUUUUUGCCCGUGACAGAGGGAGUAUAGUGUAGAAUGGUUCUGUCAACUAAAAUAUUGUGCCCGUGUAACCUGAUGGAUCUACUAAAACUCAUCUUUACUAAAAAUUUUCAGCGGCUUCAUUCUUGAUGUAUUCUAGUGUUUUUUCUUCAGCUUAAUGAUUUUUAGGAUUUAUUGUCUGGUGUAGAAGUUGGGGCAUAAGUUUUGGAAUACUGUGUACUCUGCUUUAGAAGAAACUAUAGUUUCUAUAGUGCAGUGUCGUAUUUUCACUAAACUGAAUUAUACUUCAUGAUCCUCAAGGAUCUCAUUUAUCACAGUUUACUUUGUUCCCUGAA